UAAUUACGCCUCACUUGUUACUGCUGUGAUCCAUUCAAUGUUGUAGAUGUCAACCGCUUUCUUUAUCAAGUGGCGCUACAAGGAGUUCAGGAACUCCACCUCGUCUUGUUCACAUAUUCAACCAUAUUGCCUAAUGCUUAUUGCAAGAAUCUUGUCACCCUUGAGCUACACCAUGCUAGUUCAAGUCCCUAAGUUUGAUUUUCGUAAAAUUUGAAAGUCACGCCGUUAUGUUCAAGUUUUUAUGUGGAUGUCCCAAUCUCGAAUAUUUAGAUGCAAGACACUUAACCAUAGUUAGCAGUGACAUUCCACCAAGGGCAGGGGAGAUAGCUGAAGCCUUGCCCAAGUUGGUCAGAGCAAAAAUUAAUCAUUCCUCUAUCCUGUGUCCCGUGCUUGGUAAUGCACGGUUUUUGUGCAUACAAAUGACUAGAACUUAAGGGAUUGUGUCUACAUUCCCACGUUUCACAAUCUCUCCCCGUGAGUACAUUGACUGCAAUGUCAUGUGGAACUGGUUUGCACAAAUGCUCCACAAUUGUCCCAAGCUUCAAAAUCUUACCAUCAGCAAGGAACACACAUAUACACAUGCAAUUGGCAAAUGCCAUUGGAAGGAUCAACAAACUGUUGUUCCAGAAUGUCUUUCAUCACAAAUUAGAACGUUCAAGUUCAAAUCAUACAACGGCUUUGGUUGUGAGGUUCAAUUUGCUAAAUAUAUCAUGCAAAAUUCAAAAGUACUGCAAAAUAUGACAAUGCACACUAAAGCAGUUGAUAAGCACCAGAUGUUGGAAACUUUCUCUCUAUGUCCAAGGGGCUCUGCGAACUGUAUUCUUCACUUUGACACAACACCUUCGUAGGUCGAAGACUCUUGGAGGCUUCUUUAUGAUUUUCUUUCUGUUAUGUUUGUGAUCACAAGUGCAGUUAGGAUAGUUAAUUAUAAUCGUGAUCGUUUCAAUGCAAACUGCGGCUGCUGCAAGAUAAAAUAAUUUUGAUAGCUGCUAGGGAAUUAUGUGGAUGGAAAUGGAAUAUUUUGAAUGUUUAAUGGAUCUAGACUCUGUUGACUCUUCUGGAUUUUAUUUAUGUAACCUUUUCAUAUAACUCCUCCUAGCUCUUUGUCCUUUUCUUUUCUUAUUUAU